AUUGAACGCUAGCGGGAUGCUUUACACAUGCAAGUCGAACGAGUGGCGGACGGGUGAGUAAUAUAGCGGAACGUGCCCAGUAGCGGGGGAGAAAUACUCGAAAGAGGGGCUAAUACCGCAUACUAUGGGAACGGCAGAUAUCGGAUUAGCUUGGUGGUGGGGUAAAGGCUCACGAAGGCAACGAUCCGUAGCUGGUUCGAGAGGACGACCAGCCCCACUGGGACUGAGACCCGGCCCAACCUCCUACGUGAGGCAGCAGUGGGGAAUUUUGGACAAUGGGGGAAACCCUGAUCCAGCCAUCCCGCGUGUAUGAGAAGGCCUUCGGGUUGUAAAGUACUUUUGGCAGAGAAGCGGUAUCUGCAGAAUAAGCACCGGCUAACUACGUGCCAGCAGCCGCGGUAAUAC
rnacentral:rRNA from 1 species